rnacentral:misc_RNA from 1 species
CUUUACAAGAGCCAGCUGAGGUUAAGGAUUUCUUGCGGCGUUUGGUAGACUGGAAACGAUUCUCUCCUGGAGGAGCAUGUAGGGUGUAAAAGUAAAGAAGAAAUUGACUUCCACCCUUUAAUAGUUGGUCAAUGACCAAGGUGGAAUUGAAAUAUGUAAUUUUUCUCUUUAAACAUUGUAAAUGAAGAGCAAUUUAAAGAAAUAUGGAAUACAAAGAAUUCCAUAAUUUUGCAAGGAAUCACUUUCUUCAAGGCUCUUUUUUUUUUUUUUAUGGGAAAGAAAAA